UAAGUACUAUUUCGGAAUGACUGUUACAGCAAAAUUAACUUCUGAUGAAAACUCAUUUUAACAAAGACCAGAGUGAAAUGCAAAUGAGAAAAAUCCCUGGUCUGAGGCUACCCAUGUGCAGUUUGAAUUCAGACCAUUCCAGAAAGGGUUAUAAGGAGGGACCUACGUUUUUUGAAGAGAACGUUAGCAUCUUUCCUUCUCAUUCCAAGAAUUGGCUACAAGAAACCUCUCAUCUGAGCUACUAGAAAUGUGUGUAAGACGGAAAAGCUCUGAGCAAUACAGCUGUCGCGCUGGGACAACUGCUGUCAUUAUGGUAAUUUUUUCCUCAUUGGCUACACUAACCUGGUGUGAAGCCAUGCUACAUGUUACAGCGUAACUAUAGCUUCAAAGUGAUUAACCUACCCUCAGAAUAAAAAGGCAAUGAAAAAGAUCUAGAAACAAUGUUACAUCACCAAAUUUUCC